rnacentral:misc_RNA from 1 species
AAGUCGUAACAAGGUUUCCGUAGGUGAACCUGCGGAAGGAUCAUUAAAGAACGCCCCGUUUUUUUCACAAAUGGGUUCAAUACCCCCUAACCGUGUAUACCUCUCUUGUUGCGUUGCGCCUGCGUGUGGCCGUUGCAUCCGUACUGCGCCCGCCAGAGGACCCAAACUCGUUUGUUUAGUGAUGUCUGAGUACUAUAAAAUAUUUAAAA